GACGGAGGGGGCAAGCGUUGUUCGGAAUUAUUGGGCGUAAAGGGCUCGUAGGCGGAUCCGCCAGUCUGACGUGAAAUCUCCACCGCUCACCGGGGAGGGGCCGUUGGAUACUACGGAUCUGGGAUUCGGCAGAGGACCAUGGAAUUUCGGGUGUAGCGGUGGAAUGCGUAGAUAUCCGAAAGAACACCGGUGGCGAAAGCGGCGCGCUGGACCCCUUCUGACGCUGAGGCGCGAAAGCCAGGGGAGCAAACGGG
rnacentral:rRNA from 1 species